rnacentral:misc_RNA from 1 species
AGAGUAAAAUAGUACGUGAAAUUGUUGAAAGGGAAACGAUUGAAGUCAGUCGUACCGACGAGAAAUCAGCUUAUUGUGUGCGAACUUGUGGGCGUGCGUGAGUUUCGGCCUCGCUGUUUGCAUGUUUGUGCGUUUUGGGUGUACUUUUUCGUAUGGUAGGCCAAUGUCAGUUUCGAUUACUAUAAAAUGACCGGCGGAAUGUAGCUUCGAUCUCGGUUGAAGUGUUAUAGCCUCUGGUAGAUGUAGUGAUUGGGACUGAGGAUUGCAACGAAUAUCCUUUGGGCUAUCCGUCUGAUCUCUGAUAGUUGCUCAGGUGCCGAAAGCGUGCUUACGGUCAUCUAAGUUGACGGUCAAUAGGUUAGAACGUGAUUACAUUCGUUAAGGACGUUGGCGUAAUGGCUUUAAACGA